GCUGGGUGUGGUGGCGCACACCUGUAAUCCCAGCAGCUCAGGAAGCUGAGGCAGGAGGAUCCAGAGUUCAAAGCCAGUCUCUGGAACAGCGAGGUGCUAAGCAACUCAGGGAGACCCUGUCUCUC
rnacentral:sRNA from 1 species